rnacentral:rRNA from 1 species
AUUGAACGCUGGCGGCAUGCCUUACACAUGCAAGUCGAACGGCAGCAUGAUCUAGCUUGCUAGAUUGAUGGCGAGUGGCGAACGGGCGAGUAAUACAUCGGAACGUGCCCUGUAGCGGGGGAUAACUAGUCGAAAGAUUAGCUAAUACCGCAUACGACCUGAGGGUGAAAGUGGGGGACCGCAAGGCCUCAUGCUAUAGGAGCGGCCGAUGUCUGAUUAGCUAGUUGGUGAGGUAAAGGCUCACCAAGGCGACGAUCAGUAGCUGGUCUGAGAGGACGAUCAGCCACACUGGGACUGAGACACGGCCCAGACUCCUACGGGAGGCAGCAGUGGGGAAUUUUGGACAAUGGGCGAAAGCCUGAUCCAGCAAUGCCGCGUGUGUGAAGAAGGCCUUCGGGUUGUAAAGCACUUUUGUCCGGAAAGAAAUGGCUCUGGUUAAUACCUGGGGUCGAUGACGGUACCGGAAGAAUAAGGACCGGCUAACUACGUG